rnacentral:lncRNA from 1 species
AUCUUUUUUAUUUUAUUUACAUAUUUAUAUGUAGUGCUANGGACAGCCAUUGCCUUGUACAAAUUUAUUUUUUCUCCACAGUUACACACACUAAGACAUUGUUUCCUAGUACUUUCCCUUAUCUUUCUUGUACUCUUUGGAAGAGCAAGACCUGGCAAAAUGAUUUUUAAGCCCUUUGUUAAACUGACUUUAUUUUCAAAAGUUGGAGUAAAAUCAUGUGGCCUCCUUGACAUCAACAGUCACUAGACUUUACUCAAAGAAAGUCUGUGGUUUUUCUGUUUAAUGGGUCAGUCAUAAAGCUUUAAUAUUUGUACAUUGGGUUUGUAAUCCUAAGAUUUCCUUAAGAAGACUUACUAAGUUCACCUCAGGGUUGUCUGAGCCUUGACAGUUUGGCCUAACCACUUUUCUCCAUAUAUGUAGUUGAGAAACUAUAGUCCUAGAAAGAAAUUGCUUUAAAUAUUGCUGGUAACUUCUCUUUUGAGGAUCAGAAUCAUUUUGCUAUCCAAAUAGACCUGUGGAGAGUAAAUGCAAAAGUGCUAAGAGGAAUGAGUCACAUGUUGAGUAUUCAACGUCAUUGAAGCACUAUUUGUGUCACUCUCAGAGGAUGAUUUUGUGUAGCACCUCUUUGAAAGCUCAACCUACUGUUUUCUGUUGUUGUUAGAAGCAGGACGACAGGGUUGUUAUGUUUUUCUUUAUAAACUAACUGUUUAUGGUCUAGAUUUAAAGAAAAGUUCUGACAUUUUUUAGCUCUGAGUAGUGGUUUUUUUUGAAACUCCUGAAAACGUUUUUGCUACCAAAUAAAUCAUGCUUUAUGAUACUCAGCCAUCUAAAAAUGAAAGACCCAAAAUUUGAGUCUGCACAGAACAAAAAUCUCACGGGAACCAUUGCACUUUGGAGAAGCAUGGAAGUAGAAAUACAGUGCAAUUCUAUUACAGUAUUUUACCACAUUUAAACUAACUUAGAGCCUUUUAAGUUUAAUGCCUUAGUUUCUCAUUACUAAUGAACUAGGGAAUUAUUAGCAUUAAGCAAGAAAAUGACAGUUAUAUAAUUGCAAUGUAGAGUGUUGCCAGGAAAUCUGUAAGACUGAAGGAAAUUUGUAUUGCAUAUGCAAAAAAUAAGAUUAGUGUUUUUAAGACUUAUUACUGACACAUAUUUGAUUCCUGGAUAAACUAGUCGCUUAAUUAGUACUGAGAAUUCUGUUCAUUCAUGGUGCUAGAUAGUUUGAGGGGUCUAAUAUGUGUAAGUCAUAUCUCUUUUCUUAGUGGUCAUAUAGUGUAGAUAAUUUAUGAGCUCUAAAUAAUCAGCUUUAUCCAAUUCAAGGGCAUUAAGAUUAAUUACUGCCUGGAACUUUGAAGAGAGAAAAAUUCAGGGACACAUUUAAAGGCACUGGAACAGUUCAUGUCCAUAUCAGGUCAGUAAAUUAAAAGAUUCAGAAACUCAUGUCUAAAAUUAGCUGGUUAGAAUUCAGAAAGGGACAUGUUUUAACUUUGUGAUAUAUUAGCAAAAUUUCAUCUACUAUGAUGUUUUGGGGGAAGUUUUUCAUUUAUGCACUUGUAUAUGAAGACAAUUUGUAUGACAAUACAAAACUCAAAGAAUUUGUUGGGCUUUUCUUUUACUUAUAUGAGUGGGUAGAAAUAUUUGGAAUCAUUAUAGAAAGCUCAUUUUAAGGAAAAAAUAUAGCAUGUCUGUAAUCCCAGAAACUUGGAAGGCUGAGGUAGGAGGAUUGCAAGUUGUAGAACAGCCUCAGCAAUUUGAGAAAGCUCUGAGCAAUUCAGAUAGACGCUGACUCAAAAAAAUAUAUAUAGCCAGGUGCAGUAGUACAUGCCUGCAAUCAGGAGGCGGAGGCAGGAGGAUCACGAGUUCAAAGCCAUCCUCAGCAACUUAGCAAGACCCUAUCUCUAAAUAAAAUAUAAAAAGAACUGGGGAUGUAGUUCAGUGGUUAAGCACCCUGGGUUCGAUCCCUGGUACCAGAUAAGUAAAUAAAAUUAAAAAUGAUUAUAUUGAUUUUGUUAAAUACAUUACGUAUUUCUGCCCUUUCCCCCUCCUCCCUCUUGUUCUCCACUUUCUACUACACUGAUCUUCCCAUUCAGUUUAUGCUAUCUGAAAUCCCCCCCACACACCAACUUUCCCUCAUUCUGCUGUAGCUUCCACAUAGGACAGAAAACAUUUUACCCUUGAUUUUCUGAAUUUGGCUUAUUUCACUUAGCAUGAAGUUCUCCAUUUUCAUCCACUUACCGGCAAAUGUCAUUAUUUCAUUCUUGAUUCAUUCAUGUGUUCAUGGGCAUUUGGGUUGAUUCCAUUAUUCAAAAAUAUUUGAGUGCCUAUAACAUACGGUCAACUGCUAGUGAGUAUUGAUUCAGAGAUUACUCCUUUGUGAGGAGAUAGGAAAACACAAAUGGAAAACUAUAGUACAUUUGCCUCCUAAUUGAAGAUUAUGCAGUUGUUUCAAAUAUGUAUAAACUAAGAUGUGCGAGAAUGAGAAUAACUUUUUUUUUGUACUGGAGAUUAAACCACUGUGUGCUUUGUCGCUAAGAUAUAACCCCCAUCUUUUACUUAUUUAUUUAGAUAACAGGGAUUGAACCCAGGGGCACUUGAUAAGCCACAUCCCCA